rnacentral:rRNA from 1 species
CGCUGACGACCGGCGCACGGGUGCGUAACGCGUAUGCAACUUACCCUGUACUGGGGGAUAGCCCGGAGAAAUUCGGAUUAAUACCCCAUAGAAUUAAGAUACCGCAUGGUAUUUUACUUAAAGGUUACGGUACAGGAUAGGCAUGCGUCCCAUUAGCUAGAUGGUGAGGUAACGGCUCACCAUGGCAACGAUGGGUAGGGGGCCUGAGAGGGUGAUCCCCCACACUGGUACUGAGACACGGACCAGACUCC